AGAGUUUGAUCGUGGCUCAGGAUGAACGCUAGCGGCGCGCCUAAUGCAUGCAAGUCGAGCGAUGAGGUUCUUUCGGGAGCGAUCAGCGGCAGACGGGUGAGUAACACGUGGGUGACCUACCCUCCAGACGGGGAUAACGGAUGGAAACAUGCGCUAAUACCCGAUGAACUUGUACGGUCGAAGGUACAAGGAAAGCUUCGGUGCUGGGGGGGGGCCUGCGGCCCAUCAGCUAGUUGGUAGGGUAAGAGCCUACCAAGGCGAAGACGGGUAGGGGGUGUGAGAGCACGGCCCCCCACAAUGGGACUGAGACACGGCCCAUACUCCUACGGGAGGCAGCAGCAGGGAAUAUUGCCCAAUGGACGGAAGUCUGAGGCAGCGACGCCGCGUGGAUGAGGAAGGCCUUCGGGUUGUAAAAUCCUUUUCUGGGGGAAGAGGAAGGACGGUACCCUGGGAAUAAGCGUCGGCUAACUACGUGCCAGCAGCCGCGGUAAGACGUAGGACGCAAGCGUUAUCCGGACUUACUGGGCGUAAAGCGUCUGUAGGCGGUGCGCUAAGUUGGACGUGAAAGCUCCGUGCUCAGCGCGGAGAGGCCGUUCAAUACUGGCGGACUAGAGGGUGACAGAGGGGCGUGGAAUUUCCGGUGUAGCGGUAAAAUGCGCAGAUAUCGGAAGGAACACCAGUGGCGAAGGCGGCGCCCUGGGUCACAACUGACGCUGAGAGACGAAAGCUAGGGGAGCGAACAGGAUUAGAGACCCUGGUAGUCCUAGCCCUAAACGAUGGAUGCUAGGUGUGGGGCCGAACUGGCUCUGUGCCACAGCUAACGCGUUAAGCAUCCCGCCUGGGGAGUACGGCCGCAAGGUUAAAACUCAAACGAAUUGACGGGGACCCGCACAAGCAGCGGAGCGUGUGGUUUAAUUCGAUUCUACACGAAGAACCUUACCUGGGUUUGACAUGGAGGUGGUAGCGAAGCGAAAGCAGAGCGACCCUUCGGGGAGCCUUCACAGGUGCUGCAUGGCUGUCGUCAGCUCGUGCCGUGAGGUGUCGGGUUAAGUCCCGUAACGAGCGCAACCCUUGCCCUUAGUUACAAGUGUCUAGGGGGACUGCCGGCGGGAAGCCGGAGGAAGGUGGGGAUGACGUCAAGUCAGCAUGGCCCCUUAUGUCCAGGGCUACACACACGCUACAAUGGGCGGUACAAUGGGCAGCCAAGCCGCGAGGCGGAGCGAAUCCCAACAAAGCCGUUCAUAGUUCGGAUAGCAGGCUGCAACUCGCCUGCUUGAAGCU
rnacentral:rRNA from 1 species